rnacentral:rRNA from 1 species
CAGUCGCCGCGGUAAUACGUAGGUCCCGAGCGUUGUCCGGAUUUAUUGGGCGUAAAGCAAGCGCAGGCGGUUUAGUAAGUCUGGAGUUAAAGGCAUUGGCUCAACCAAUGUAUGCUUUGGAAACUGUUAGACUUGAGUGCAGAAGGGGAGAGUGGAAUUCCAUGUGUAGCGGUGAAAUGCGUAGAUAUAUGGAGGAACACCGGUGGCGAAAGCGGCUCUCUGGUCUGUCACUGACGCUGAGGCUCGAAAGCGUGGGUAGCGAACAGGAUUAGAUACCCCAGUAGUCCCUGUCUCUUAUACA